rnacentral:rRNA from 1 species
AACGAACGCUGGCGGCAUGCCUAACACAUGCAAGUCGAACGAGACCUUCGGGUCUAGUGGCGCACGGGUGCGUAACGCGUGGGAAUCUGCCCUUGGGUUCGGGAUAACAGUUGGAAACGACUGCUAAUACCGGAUGAUGACUUCGGUCCAAAGAUUUAUCGCCCAGGGAUGAGCCCGCGUAGGAUUAGCUAGUUGGUGAGGUAAAAGCUCACCAAGGCGACGAUCCUUAGCNGGUCUGAGAGGAUGAUCAGCCACACUGGGACUGAGACACGGCCCAGACUCCUACGGGAGGCAGCAGUGGGGAAUAUUGGUCAAUGGGCGCAAGCCUGAACCAGCCAUGCCGCGUGAGUGAUGAAGGCCUUAGGGUUNUAAAGCUCUUUCAGUAGGGAA